rnacentral:rRNA from 1 species
AUUGAACGCUGGCGGCAGGCCUAACACAUGCAAGUCGAGCGGUAGCACAGAGAGCUUGCUCUCGGGUGACGAGCGGCGGACGGGUGAGUAAUGUCUGGGAAACUGCCUGAUGGAGGGGGAUAACUACUGGAAACGGUAGCUAAUACCGCAUAAUGUCGCAAGACCAAAGUGGGGGACCUUCGGGCCUCAUGCCAUCAGAUGUGCCCAGAUGGGAUUAGCUAGUAGGUGGGGUAACGGCUCACCUAGGCGACGAUCCCUAGCUGGUCUGAGAGGAUGACCAGCCACACUGGAACUGAGACACGGUCCAGACUCCUACGGGAGGCAGCAGUGGGGAAUAUUGCACAAUGGGCGCAAGCCUGAUGCAGCCAUGCCGCGUGUGUGAAGAAGGCCUUCGGGUUGUAAAGCACUUUCAGCGGGGAGGAAGGCGGUGAGGUUAAUAACCUCAUCGAUUGACGUUACCCGCAGAAGAAGCACCGGCUAACUCCGUGCCAGCAGCCGCGGUAAUACGGAGGGUGCGAGCGUUAAUCGGAAUUACUGGGCGUAAAGCGCACGCAGGCGGUCUGUCAAGUCGGAUGUGAAAUCCCCGGGCUCAACCUGGGAACUGCAUUCGAAACUGGCAGGCUAGAGUCUUGUAGAGGGGGGUAGAAUUCCAGGUGUAGCGGUGAAAUGCGUAGAGAUCUGGAGGAAUACCGGUGGCGAAGGCGGCCCCCUGGACAAAGACUGACGCUCAGGUGCGAAAGCGUGGGGAGCAAACAGGAUUAGAUACCCUGGUAGUCCACGCCGUAAACGAUGUCGAUUUGGAGGUUGUGCUCUUGAGGCGUGGCUUCCGGAGCUAACGCGUUAAAUCGACCGCCUGGGGAGUACGGCCGCAAGGUUAAAACUCAAAUGAAUUGACGGGGGCCCGCACAAGCGGUGGAGCAUGUGGUUUAAUUCGAUGCAACGCGAAGAACCUUACCUGGUCUUGACAUCCACAGAACUUUCCAGAGAUGGAUUGGUGCCUUCGGGAACUGUGAGACAGGUGCUGCAUGGCUGUCGUCAGCUCGUGUUGUGAAAUGUUGGGUUAAGUCCCGCAACGAGCGCAACCCUUAUCCUUUGUUGCCAGCGGUUAGGCCGGGAACUCAAAGGAGACUGCCAGUGAUAAACUGGAGGAAGGUGGGGAUGACGUCAAGUCAUCAUGGCCCUUACGACCAGGGCUACACACGUGCUACAAUGGCAUAUACAAAGAGAAGCGACCUCGCGAGAGCAAGCGGACCUCAUAAAGUAUGUCGUAGUCCGGAUUGGAGUCUGCAACUCGACUCCAUGAAGUCGGAAUCGCUAGUAAUCGUAGAUCAGAAUGCUACGGUGAAUACGUUCCCGGGCCU